AGCUUUGGUGGCGCAGCUAACGCGUUAAGUUAUCCGCCUGGGGAGUACGGCCGCAAGGUUAAAACUCAAAGAAAUUGACGGGGGCCUGCACAAGCGGUGGAGCAUGUGGUUUAAUUCGAAGCAACGCGCAGAACCUUACCAGCGUUUGACAUGGUAGGACGGUUACUGGAGACAGUUUCCUUCCCUUACGGGACCUACACACAGGUGCUGCAUGGCUGUCGCCAGCUCGUGUCGUGAGAUGUUGGGUUAAGUCCCGCAACGAGCGCAACCCUCGUCUUUAGUUGCCAUCAUUAAGUUGGGCACUCUAAAGAAACUGCCGGUGAUAAGCCGGAGGAAGGUGGGGAUGACGUCAAGUCCUCAUGGCCCUUACGCGCUGGGCUACACACGUGCUACAAUGGCGGUGACAAUGGGCAGCAAACCCGCGAGGGUGAGCUAAUCUCCAAAAGCCGUCUCAGUUCGGAUCGUUCUCUGCAACUCGAGAGCGUGAAGGCGGAAUCGCUAGUAAUCGUGGAUCAGCAUGCCACGGUGAAUACGUUCCCAGGCCUUGUACACACCGCCCGU
rnacentral:rRNA from 1 species